CAACUCCUGACGAUGGAUAUCUUGGGUCCUGGCUCGAUGAAGAACGCAGCGAAAUGCGAUACGUAAUGCGAAUUGCAGAACUCCGUGAAUCAUCGAAUCUUUGAACGCAUGUUGCGCCCGAGGCUCUGCCGAGGGCACGUCCGUUUGAGCGCCACAA
rnacentral:rRNA from 1 species